CCUACGGGUGGCAGCAGUGAGGAAUAUUGGUCAAUGGACGGAACUCUGAACCAGCCAUGCCGCGUGCAGGAUGACGGCUCUAUGAGUUGUAAACUGCUUUUGUAUUAGGGUAAACACUCCUACGUGUAGGGGCUUGAAAGUAUAAUAAGAAUAAGGAUCGGCUAACUCCGUGCCAGCAGCCGCGGUAAUACGGAGGAUCCGAGCGUUAUCCGGAUUGAUUGGGCUUAAAGGGAGCGUAGGUGGAUUGUUAAGUCAGUUGUGAAAGUUUGCGGCUCAACCGUAAAAUUGCAGUUGAGACUGGCAGUCUAGAGUACAGUAGAGGUGGGCAGAAUUCGUGGUGUAGCGGUGAAAUGCGUAGAGAUCACGAAGAACUCCGAGUGCGAAGGCAGCUCACUGGACUGCAACUGACACUGAGGUUCGAAAGUGUGGGGAUCAAACAGGAUUAGAUACCCCUGUAGUC
rnacentral:rRNA from 1 species